CACCCUCCCGGCCGGGAGCGAGGUGGGGGGCGAGCAACUGCCGCUGCAGAGGGCGGUGAGCACUUGCCCUACGCUGCCCCCACCGCGCCGCCAGCGCCAGGCGCCCCUUCCCACCCGGGUCCCUCUGGCCCCUGGGCGCAGGGCCACCCACCAGGGCCGUCUGACCCGGCGGGCGCUCCGUUCCCGGCCAGGGUCUCUCGGUCCUCAGAGGGCGUAGUGCCCCUGCCCCGCCGCGUCGGGCGCCUCCGCGGACCCUCUCCAGCCGCGAGCAGCCCCAGGUCCCCGCGCGUCGGGCGCGCUCGUCGCUGCCGGGGAACUUUGGCGCGCACGCCCCCACCCGGGCGGCGCCGCCGACUCACCUGCCCCGGGGCCACUCCGCUGGCCCGGGCCGCCGCCCUCCGGACGCCCCUGACCCCGGUGCGGGCAGGCUCUCGGGGAGCCCCCACCCCCCUACCCCCUUCCCCGGGCACUGUCCCUCGGCUCUACUGGGGUCUGGGGCCGGCGUGGGCGCCCCCGGCCUCCACCCUCUGCCGGCCGGGGCUUCGGGGAGCGGCCGGGGGCGGAGGGCUGAGGCUCUGGGCUCUCUCGCCCCCACCCCGCGCGCCUCCUUUAUUUUAUGAUCAUGGUGAGCGCGCUGUCGCCGCUCAGCCCCGCCGCCGCGCCGCAGCCGCCUGGCGCGCCCCGCUCUGCCUCGCUCUGCUGCAGCAUCGGAAAGGCAACCGGGUCAAACUUUGCAGAAACUCGGCCCCUGCGCCGGCCCGGACCCCGCGUCCGCUCGCCGCCGCCGGCCGAGUGCAGCCGGCGCACGCAGGGACCGCCGCCCGCUCGCCAGCCCCGCGGGGUGCAGGUCCGCAGGCGGCGGCGGCGGCGGCGGCGGCGGGCGGGCGCCGCCUCCUCCUCCCCGCCCGCCCGGCUCUCCACCCUCGCGCCCCGCACACAGCCCGCCCUCCCCCUGGUAAUCCCUCGCUCCCCCUCGCUCCCUCUCGCUGCAGCUGCCGGGGGAGCUAA
rnacentral:lncRNA from 13 species